GCUUGCUUCAGUAUUACAUAUACUAAAAUUGGAAUGAUACAGAGAAGAUUAGCAUGGCUGCUGCGCAAGGAUGACAUGAAAAUUCAUGAAGUAUUCCAUAUUUUU